UACGUAGGGUGCGAGCGUUAAUCGGAAUUACUGGGCGUAAAGGGUGCGCAGGCGGUCCCGCAAGUCAGGCGUGAAAUCCCCGGGCUUAACCUGGGAAUGGCACUUGAAACUACGGGACUGGAGUAUGGCAGAGGGAGGUGGAAUUCCACGUGUAGCGGUGAAAUGCGUAGAGAUGUGGAGGAACACCGAUGGCGAAGGCAGCCCCCUGGGCCAAUACUGACGCUCAUGCACGAAAGCGUGGGGAGCAAACAGG
rnacentral:rRNA from 1 species